AAAAAAAAAAAAUCUCUUCCAAAAAAGCACCGGUCUGCAGAUGUCUGCAAGAGAACCCACGAACCCUCCUUCUUCUACGGCAGGGCAGCAGUUGGCAGGAGUACUAGUUGGAGGGAAUGAAUCGUCUACAUUGGCUGUUCAUCUUUAAAAAUUGACUCUUCAGUAGCAUGUAAGUGCGUCACAGAUAAAGGACUAACUUUGUGAACAUACUCCUGCAGUAAAAAGGACAAAAAUGAACAAUUCUUAUGUAAUUAGUCACCCGACACAAGUGUUCCAGGAUAAGAUCUUCUGAAGUAUCAUAGCAGAAAUAUAAAUGGAAUGCUUAGAGUUGCUGUUGUCAGCUGUUAGAAAUGGAAGGAUUUCUGCAGCAUUUCAGGUUCUCUGGAUAGUAAUACAUCAAACUAAGCAAUUCAAUCCUUCUUCCUGCAAUUCCUACCUAGCCAGGCCCAUGAAACCUGUGGUAUUGGUGAGGAAGCGAUGCCUCAAAGUUACUCAACAUAUAACUUUAAAUAAAAGAAAGCUAUUCCCCAAAUGCAUACUUGUGUAAGCAUUUGGAAUGCAGUAAGUGUGUUUUCAUUAUGACUGAACAAUUUCAGCUGUGAGCAACUAUACAGCAAGAAGAAGAAAAAAUGCAUCUUUGGAGGACAAGAGCUGGAAAAUGCUUCUGCAUCUGGUUUUCUUUGGGGGGAAAGACUUUGUGAGGUGUGAGGAAAGACUCAUUCCCCUUUGGAUUAUAAAAGCAGUGCUUAUAAUAAAACUGUAUGUUGUGGCUCUUCAGUGGAUGGAGGCCUGUUCUUCUAUGCAUGCUCAAUGCAACAUAACUGUGUAGAUUAAAGACUUUUAAUAGUCCCUUCCUUUUGAUAUUUCCAGUGCACUCUCCAGUCAGUGCACUCUUCUCAGUGCUCUGACUUUCCUAGGUAAUUUCUGCUGUGUGCCGUACCUAGGUCUCCCCAGGACUUCUUAAGAAAUUUUGCUAGCUAAACUGGAUGCCAGGAAUUCUAUUAAGUGGUAAAUUGUCCUCUCCCCUCUCCUACCUUCUUCCCCAUACCCCAACCCCCCCUCACUAACAAAAGGAAUGUCUUUAUAUUCUAAAAAUUUUUAUUAUAAAGUGCAUUACUGGACUAGGGAAAGGCUGAAAUUUCUACUUAUACUCAUUCUUCAUUAUGUGAGUGAAAUUUGGAAAUGCAAAAUCAUUCAAAAGUACUGUUAACCAAGAACUUGGCAAUAGAGAAUCCUGUGGGCAGAGAAACAUCUUAAUCCCUUUCUUCUUCAGAAUUUCAGAAUUUAAAAGCUUUCCUUAUAUUCAGUUUAUUCAGUUGGGAUUCCCCUUUUUUUUUUCCUGGGUUUGUCUUUAAUUUGUCAUAAAGUACAGAUCACAACAGAGGAGCUGGGAGGUGGAGCAAAAAACAUUGGUCAGAGUUACAGGGAAAAGAUCUUCCAUUUUUUGAAAAUGCAUCCAAAAGAAAUUAUUUUUAGUCUGUAAAGUCUGAUGCCUCUCACCUAGUUUCAGGUGCCCCUGGUAAGGGA